UGGAUCGAGGAAGGAGAUGGCGUGGCCGCGUGGGGAUGAGGCGGUGGACAGAGACAUCGUCUCGUCUCGUCUCAUCUCUGCAGGUAGAGCGGCCAGAGGAGCAGACCAACAUCCCUCUUUACCUUCCACGCAACACCAACAUGGUGAGCUUCCCGUCUCCCCCAUCUACUCCCAUAUCUGAACAUCAACUGCAGUUUGUACAUUUUGGUUAUACUUUGUUUCAGUUUGUACACAUCUCGUUUUGGUUAAACUCCUGUCUUAGAUGCUAUGGCUGAAACUAGAGCAAACUGUGUGUGCAGCACAUUUUGGUUCAGUUUUGGAUGACUGAGACUAGGUAGAGCAUACUAUGUGUGUGUGUAUCCAGUGUAUCAUGACGAAUUGACUUGUGCUAAAAUUAGAAACGAGAAAUGGUACACAGACAUGUUAGUCUAUUUAACCACCUUCUCGGAUCAACUUGAUGCGAUACUAUUCUGAUUUGUUUUAGUAACAGUGGUUAUAUACUCUAUAAAUUUAUUCAUCAACAUGAUUUCUCUAUUUUCCGUGUCGUACAUUUUACAUAUCUUUAGUCAUCAAAAAUCAAAUAGGGGCAAGACUGUUACAGAAAAAUUACUUGCAAUCAUAAUAGCAUAUUGUGAUUUACUUCUUUAUAGAGUAUUUCGUAAUGCAAUUAUCUGUAUAAUCUCCUGUGUUUGCCUGAUGCUGACCAUCUGAGAAUAUGUGAAACUAUUUUCUCUCUGUCCUGAAGGUUGUUGACUGCAGAAUCUGUGGUGAUCCACACUCUGUUGGUUCACACUCAUUGAGUUCGCUCGUGAAGUUAUUAUAUCUUCACAUGGUACAUUUAUGUUUUUCGGCAGUUAAUUGAUGGUUUGAUACAUGAUACAUUUCAUGCACAGGGUGCUAGAGCUGCACUUAAUUUGCUAACAUCAUCGCCUUGUUCUUCUUGGCAACGUAAGGACCAUCAACUUCCAUAUGCAACUCUAGCACAAGAGUGAGGAUGGUGAGCCAACCGACCGCCGCAAGGUUCUACAAAUGGUUCUCAGAGGCGCAGUCGAUCAAGUUUUGGUUAAUGUUUCAUGGCUCAAUCAACGAAUGGUGUUAAAACUGCUAAUCCUGAAAGCAAGAUUUUGAAUGAUUCCUACCUCGAGCUUCCGCUUCACUUGUUUCUUGGUUGUUCAAGUAUGCUUGGUGGUUCUUCAUCGAGGGUUGAGAUGGACCAUGCACUGGUUACAUAUUCUCCUAUCUCCAUGUUCUUAAUUUUCUUGUGCAAUGAGAGCUGUAUUAAGACAGAAGUUUGUGCGGUCCAUGCUUUUAACAUUGAAAAUGAGAAGCAUUCGAUAUGGAACAAUUAUACCAUAUGUGGCUGCUUUCAGGUGCUUUGUUAGGUGACACCCGCGCCUUCAUUUCAAGUGCAAGCCGCCUCUCUCACUGUGCAUUAUCUCUAGCUGCACCACCGU